UGUGGGAGCGGGCUUGCUCGCGAAGGCGUCAGGUCAGAUACAUGAAUCUCGACUGACACACCGUAUUCGCGAGCAAGCCCGCUCCCACA
rnacentral:antisense_RNA from 1 species